AUGGUGCUGACCCUGGACGAGCAGAUGCAAGACACCCUGGCCUCCACAGGAACUUCGACCACGGCCCCAUCAGUCUUCCCCCUGGCCCCCAGCUCUAGGGACACAUCUGGCUCCUCAGUGAACCUGGGCUGCCUGGUCAAGGGCUACUUCCCUGAGCCGGUGACCGUGACAUGGAACUCAGGAUCCCUGUCCAGUGGAGUCCGCACCUUCCCAGCUGUCCUGCAGUCAGGGCUCUACUCUGUCACCAGCAUGGUGACUGUGCCCACCAGCACCUGGCCCAGCCAGACCGUCACCUGCAAUGUAGCCCACCCGGCCAGCAGCACCAAGGUGGACAAGAUCAUUGCUCCUGAAAUCCUGGGGGGACCAUCCGUCUUCAUCUUCCCCCCAAAGCCCAAGGACACGCUCAUGAUCUCCCUGACCCCCAAGGUCACAUGCGUGGUGGUAGAUGUGAGCCAGGAUGACCCCGAGGUCCAGUUCAGCUGGUAUGUAGACAACGUGGAGGUGAGCACAGCUGAGACGAAGCCACAGGAGAGGCAGUACAACAGCACAUUCCGCGUGGUCAGUGUCCUCCCCAUCAAGCACCAGGACUGGCUGAAUGGCAAGAAGUUCAAGUGCAAGGUCAACAACAAAGCCCUGCCAGCCCCCAUCGAGAGGACCAUCUCCAAAGUCGCAGGGCAACCCCGGGCGCCAGAGGUGUACGUCUUGCCCCCGGCCCAGGAGGAGCUGACCAAGAACACCGUCAGUCUGACCUGCUACAUCCAAGGCUUCUACCCUGCCGACAUCUCUGUGGAGUGGGAGAAACAGGGGCAGCCGGAGCAGGACUCCAAGACCACCGAGCCCGUCCUGGACUCCGACGGGACCUACUUCCUCUACAGCAAGCUCAGGGUGGACAGGAACAGAUGGCAGCAAGGAGACCUCUACACAUGCUCAGUGAUGCACGAGGCUCUGCACAACCACUUCACCCAGAAGACCCUGUCCCGGUCCCCGGCACCCCCUCCCUGUCCAGAGCUCAGCCUGGAUGAGAACUGUACAGAGGCCCAGGACGGGGAGCUGGACGGGCUGUGGACGACCAUCACCAUCUUCAUCAGCCUCUUCCUGCUCAGCGUGUGCUACAGUGCCACUGUCACUCUCUUCAAGGUGAACUGGAUCUUCUCCUCGGUGGUAGAGCUGAAGCCGACCAUCGCCCCUGACUACAGGAACAUGAUAGGGCAGGGGGCCUAGGCCACCUCCUGCAAGGGGCCCAGGGCCUCCCAGACCCUGGAGGACCAUCCAUCAUGGCCAGCAGCCUGGCUCCCCAGCCACACCUGCCCUUGGACCUCAUUGCCCUCUGACCCUGCGACUCACUGACCCUGCAGCCCUGCUCCUGCCCUUUGGAGGACCUCUGGAGAGCAGGCUCUACCCCCAGACUUCAGCAGCCUGGACACAGACCACCCCUGGCCCAAGACACUGGCCAGGGCCAGCAGGGGACAUGUGCACCUCACCAGGACAUCGCUGCCCUCAGGGGGAAAGCCACUCACCCGAGAGGAGGCCGAGGUCAGCUUGCUGAAGUCCACCAGGGCAGAGACAGCUUCGCACUGACCCUGUCCACUCCAGCCUCCCCACUGCAGGGUUUCUUGAGAGAGAAGGUGAAGUCCUCAGAACACUGAGUGGGGACCUCUCACCUGAGCUGGGAAGCUCUGGGCCAACACUCCCCAACAGGGGAGCUUCGGGAAGGGCUUCCUGCGGUCACUCAGAUGGCCUUCACUCCCGCCCGUGCCGUGCCAAGCCCCAUCUUGGGUCAUUCUGCAAACCCCGAGUCUCUCUGGCUCCUGGGAAGCAGCCUCCUGUGUGAUGGGGUCUCUGUGCACUGGCCCCUCCUUUGGCGCACCCGCUUCAGAGGUGGGGUUCUACCCACAGGACAGCACCUUGGACCCUCUCUGCAUGGGAACAACUAGGGAUGGGUCCAGGAUGCCACUUCCCACAGUGGGACCCAGCUCCACACCAGGGAGACCACUCAGAAGGACCUGGGCACAUGUGGCCAUUCCGGGAGGCCUGGCGAGUGCUAGGGCAGAGACCACCUGAGAGGGUGGGCAUCAGCCAGGUGUCCCUCUAGGAGAGCACUGGACAGUGUCCAGGCAGGCCAGGCAUGGACUGAGGCUGCUGAGGGCACCAGGCAGGUGGGGCACAGGAGGCCAGGACACAGCCAGGCCACAGACGGCGGGUGGACCAGAGCCCCUCCAGAGAGCCCAGGGCCUGGGGAGCCAUGGCUGGCGGGCAGUGAUGACAGACAGAGGGCCCCAGGAUCUGUUUGUGCCAUCACUACUCAGGAGCGAACACCGAGUCAGAGUUUCCAGAGAGGAAAAGACACAACAAACAGCAGAGGGGCCUCCCCAGGUGGGCUCAGGGCAGUGGCCCAGGACCUGCACACUUCUGGAUUUAAUAGGAGAGAACAGAGGGUCCUCCCAGGGGGGCUCAGGACAGUGGCCCAGGACCUGCACACUUCUGGAUUUAAUAGGAGAGAACAGCAGGACCUCCCAGGGGGCUCAGAACAGUGGCCCAGGACCUGCACACUUCUGGAUUUAAUAGGAGAGAACAGAGGGGCCUCCCAGGGGGGCUCAGGACAGUGGCCCAGGACCUGCACACUUCUGGAUUUAAUAGGACAGAACAGAGGGACCUCCCAGGGGGGCUCAGGACAGUGGCCCAGGACCUGCACACUUCUGGCUUUAAUAGGAGAGAACAGAGGGGCCUCCCAGGGGGGCUCAGGACAGUGACCCCAGGACCUGCACACUUCUGGCUUUAAUAGGAGAGAAGAGCAGGACCUCCCAGGGGGGCUCAGGACAGUGGCCCAGGACCUGCACACUUCUGGAUUUAAUAGGACAGAACAGAGGGACCUCCCAGGGGGACUCAGGGCAGUGGCCCAGGACCUGCACACUUCUGGAUUUAAUAGGAGAGAACAGAGGGUCCUCCCAGGGGGGCUCAGGACAGUGGCCCAGGACCUGCACACUUCUGGAUUUAAUAGGAGAGAACAGAGGGUCCUCCCAGGGGGGCUCAGGACAGUGGCCCAGGACCUGCACACUUCUGGAUUUAAUAGGAGAGAACAGCAGGACCUCCCAGGGGGGCUCAGGACAGUGGCCCAGGACCUGCACACUUCUGGAUUUAAUAGGAGAGAACAGAGGGUCCUCCCAGAGGGGCUCAGGACAGUGGCCCAGGACCUGCACACUUCUGGCUUUUAUAGGAGAGAACAGCAGGACCUCCCAGGGGGGCUCAGGACAGUGGCCAGGACCUGCACACUUCUGGCUUUGGUAGCUUUCUCCUUCUAGUUUACAGGAACCCCAUAAUGUCUUUUCAGGUUUUUUCAGAGUGACAUUAAACAUCCUUUAAACAC